rnacentral:rRNA from 1 species
UCCAGACUCCUACGGGAGGCAGCAGUGGGGAAUAUUGCACAAUGGGGGAAACCCUGAUGCAGCGACGCCGCGUGAGUGAAGAAGUAUUUCGGUAUGUAAAGCUCUAUCAGCAGGGAAGAUAAUGACGGUACCUGACUAAGAAGCCCCGGCUAACUACGUGCCAGCAGCCGCGGUAAUACGUAGGGGGCAAGCGUUAUCCGGAUUUACUGGGUGUAAAGGGUGCGUAGGUGGCAGGGCAAGUCAGAUGUGAAAGCCCGGGGCUCAACCCCGGUACUGCAUUUGAAACUGUCCAGCUGGAGUGCAGGAGAGGUAAGCGGAAUUCCUAGUGUAGCGGUGAAAUGCGUAGAUAUUAGGAGGAACACCAGUGGCGAAGGCGGCUUACUGGACUGUAACUGACGUUGAGGCUCGAAAGCGUGGGGAGCAAACAGGAUUAGAUACCCCAGUA